rnacentral:tRNA from 1 species
GGGAAUAGCUCAGUUGGUAGAGCAUCAGCUUCCCAAGCUGAGGGUCGCGGGUUCGAAUCCCGUUUCCC